rnacentral:rRNA from 1 species
AUUGAACGCUGGCGGCAUGCCUUACACAUGCAAGUCGAGCGCGAAAGGGGGCAACCCCGAGUAGAGCGGCGGACGGGUGAGUAACACAUCGGAACGUGCCCAGUAGUGGGGGACAACCUCGAGAAAUCGAGGCUAAUACCGCAUACGACCCACGGGUGAAAGCGGGGGACCGCAAGGCCUCGCGCUAUUGGAGCGGCCGAUGUCCGAUUAGCUAGUUGGCGGGGUAAGAGCCCACCAAGGCGACGAUCGGUAGCUGGUCUGAGAGGACGACCAGCCACACUGGGACUGAGACACGGCCCAGACUCCUACGGGAGGCAGCAGUGGGGAAUUUUGGACAAUGGGGCAACCCUGAUCCAGCCAUGCCGCGUGCGGGAA